rnacentral:rRNA from 1 species
UAGGAUAGAGGCCUACCAUGGUUUUAACGGGUAACGGGGAAUUAGGGUUCGAUUCCGGAGAGGGAGCCUGAGAAACGGCUACCACAUCCAAGGAAGGCAGCAGGCGCGCAAAUUACCCAAUCCCGACACGGGGAGGUAGUGACAAUAAAUAACAAUACGGGGCUCAUUUGGGCCUCGUAAUUGGAAUGAGUACAAUUUAAAUCUCUUAACGAGGAACAAUUGGAGGGCAAGUCUGGUGCCAGCAGCCGCGGUAAUUCCAGCUCCAAUAGCGUAUAUUAAAGUUGUUGCAGUUAAAAAGCUCGUAGUUGAACUUCGGGGUUUACCCAUUGGUCAGGCUUAAUUGUCUGUACUGGUGAGAUAAAUCUCUACCUUCUGAGGAACUUUCAUGUCAUUAAUUUGGUGUGAUUGGAAAUCAGGACUGUUACUUUGAAAAAAUUAGAGUGUUUAAAGCAGGCUAACGUCUGAAUACAUUAGCAUGGAAUAAUGAAAUAGGACGGAUUGAUUCUAUUUCGUUGGUUUCUAGGAUCACCGUAAUGAUUAAUAGGGAUAGUUGGGGGCAUUAGUAUUCAAUUGUCAGAGGUGAAAUUCUUGGAUUUAUUGAAGACUAACUACUGCGAAAGCAUUUGCCAAGGAUGUUUUCAUUAAUCAAGAACGAAAGUUAGGGGAUCGAAGACGAUCAGAUACCGUCGUAGUCUUAACCAUAAACUAUGCCGACUAGGGAUCGGACGAA